UGUUGGGUCAUUUUGUUGGGUUAUUUUCUCAGUGUUGGGUCGUUUUUGGAGUAACCCAGUCGCUGGGUUACCAGUUGGGUCCAAUUGAGUGACAGUUGAGAGAGUAAACCCCGCCCCCUCCUCGACGCCUCAGAAAACUUUACCUUCGCGGUCAUUUUGAAUCACCUCAGAAGCUUCUAGGACAGGAGGUAUCCGAAGGAAAAAGGGUGAAGAAUAGAAAGGGACAGUUAACAACAAUGGAUCAUUUUGUACAGGAGAAGCUGAAAGAAUGGAACUUGGAAGUCCUGAUCCCAUGCUUCAAAGAUGAACAAAUUGACAGAGAAACCCUCCUGCUGCUGGAUGAAAAAUCACUAGAAGCAAUGAUACCAAAGAUAGGCCUACGUCUGAAAUUUAAAAAACACCUGAGAGAGCUGCUUGUUGUGAGUGAAGAAAUUCACAUUUAAGAUGGGAUAUAUCUGCUUUAAGUGCAAAAAGACUGUUGCGGACAAUGUUCGUUUUUUGUUUUCUCAUCUAAGGCGAAUGCAUAAUGUAUAUAGUUCAUCAACUUAUUUUGAGUGUGGCCAAGCUGGGUGUCACAGGACAUUUAAUUACAGCAGAUCAUUGAAGCGACAUCUGCUCCAGCACCAUGUAGGAACUGAGGAAG